ensembl:lncRNA
GAGCCACUGGGCUGCGCGGGCCGGGCGGGCUGGCGUCCCGCGGCCGAUCCUUCCCCGCCCCCGCCGAGGGUCCUCGGGACCCCAGGGGCUGCGGCUGGGGAGCCAGAGCAAGGGGCGGCCUCUGGAAUUUACGGGGCGCCAGCGUCACCAGCCGGGUCUGGAGGGUUCGCCUGCCGUCAAGGGCGCGCAGGAGGCACCGGCUUGGUGCAGCGCAGUCCCGGGUCGACGCACCUCGGAGGAUGUCGCGCCGCUUCUGGGAGGAUACUGACCGGCCGGGGCCAGGCCUGCACCCUCGUGGGCCCCUCGGCCCUGUUCCCAUUCUCUCUCUGCUCCUACCUCAGCCUCGGCUCUUGUCUGUCCUGGAUGCAAAUUUAUGCUGCAAAAUCUGAGCUCUGAGGUGGGAAGCUGAGGCCCAGCCAGCGGGAGGGAUUUGCCUCAGGUCACCUUGGGAGACAGGAUGGACAGCACAAGAAUCCCGUGCUCUCAGGCCUGGACUCCACAGCUGCCUACCUCUGGGCAUCCCCUCCCCCAGCCCUUGUCUCACUGUCCCUUCCAGCUGGCUUCCUCCCCACUGCCUCCCUGCAUCCUCCUCCAGCCUCCAUAGCUGCCACUCACCUCGGGUGGGGGUGGAGGGCUGGAACUGCACCGGAAGGCUGGGUUGGUGGGAGGUCCUGUUGGGAAGUGAGCCUGGUGGUGGGACGGCCACCUAUAUAGGCUUCUGCUCUGGCUAUUUUGGGAGGUGGCGCUCCCCCCGGCCCGCAGCCCCCUCCCCUUCCGGUGUCAGGUACUCCCCAACGAUGGUGCUGGGUGUCUGUAUCACAUUCGCCCGCCCUGGGCCCAUCAAGCCAGGCCUAUUAAUAACCCUUGGCCCCUGCCCUCCUCCAGCACCCAAAGCUGAAGCUCAGGCGGGGCUUUUCUCUUCCGCGAAGACUUCCAUGACCUCUUUAGACGGCAGUGACGUUUCUGUGCUCCAAAAUCCUGCAAGGAAAGGAAGAGAAAAGCCUCACAGUGCGGGCCUGGUCCCUCGUGCGUGGAUGGGGAGACAGCACAAAGACGUGAGGUGUUACGUGACUUACUACUCAAAGCCUGGACCUGGAGCCGGGAGUGGAUCCAGCUCUUUCAUAAGAUGAUCUGGUGCCUGGCCGACGACUAGCUCUGCAUGUUCUCUGACACGUCCCUUUGUCUCUUUGCGUCUCAGUCUCCCCAUCCAUAAAACGAGCUCAAUCAGGGGCAACCUUUGCUCUGUAGAUGGGCUUGGGGGGCUAUGAACCCGCUGAAAUGAUACGCAAAAUUCACAUAGGUAAACAAAGGCCCAUAGUUUUCACGAGAUUUGCAAAGCAACCUCUGGCGUUGUCUGUCUUGGAUUGGAGAUGACCAUCCAGAGGGUGUGUUUCGAAAAGCAUGAAUGAAUGAAUGAAUGAAUUUAACAAAUAUUUAUUGAGCGUCUAGUAUGGACCCCGCGAGAGGUUUCUCUCCUCAUCCCCAACCUUAGAAAGAAUCUCCAGGGCACUGACACUGUCAACAGCGAAGUCCAGGUCUUGAUGGUGACAUGAGAAGGCCCAGCCUCCACGCUAAGACUGUUUGAGAGGGAAGCUGCCCAGGCCUUCACUGACCAUCGGUUCAUGGGUGGGAGGAGCAGAGGGUGGACGGAGUGGGGAAGCCGGUGCG